rnacentral:rRNA from 1 species
AUUGAACGCUGGCGGCAGGCUUAACACAUGCAAGUCGAGCGGAGAGAGGUAGCUUGCUACUGAUCUUAGCGGCGGACGGGUGAGUAAUGCUUAGGAAUCUGCCUAUUAGUGGGGGACAACAUUUCGAAAGGAAUGCUAAUACCGCAUACGUCCUACGGGAGAAAGCAGGGGAGCUUCGGACCUUGCGCUAAUAGAUGAGCCUAAGUCGGAUUAGCUAGUUGAUGGGGUAAAGGCCUACCAAGGCGACGAUCUGUAGCGGGUAUGAGAGGAUGGACCGCCACACUGGGACUGAGACACGGCCCAGACUCCUUCGGGAGGCAACAGUGGGGAAUAUUGGACAAUGGGCGGAAGCCUGAUCCAGUCAUGCCGCGUGUGUGAAGAAGGCCUUAUGGUCGUAAAGCACUUUAAGCGAGGAGGAGGCUACUUUAGUUAAUACCUAGAGAUAGUGGACGUUACUCGCAGAAUAAGCACCGGCUAACUCUGUGCCAGCAGCCGCGGUAA